AAGUCGUAACAAGGUUUCCGUAGGUGAACCUGCGGAAGGAUCAUUACCAAUUUAAUCCAAAUCCUAACCCAUGUGCACGAUGGUUGUUUGUCUUUGGGGUGGUGUUUUAUGAUUGUGAAUAUAAUGUUUAUAUGCACAGCCUGAAAUAACCACCCCGCCAUUGUUAACAAAAUCCUUUUUAUCUGUAUUGGAAUCUUGUCUUGCUUAAUAGGUAUGACAACUUUUAACGGUGGAUCUCUUGGCUCGUG
rnacentral:misc_RNA from 1 species